AUUGAACGCUGGCGGCAUGCCUUACACAUGCAAGUCGAACGGCAGCACGGACUUCGGUCUGGUGGCGAGUGGCGAACGGGUGAGUAAUGUAUCGGAACGUACCUUUCAGUGGGGGAUAACGUAGCGAAAGUUGCGCUAAUACCGCAUAUUCUGUGAGCAGGAAAGCAGGGGACCGCAAGGCCUUGCGCUCUUUGAGCGGCCGAUGUCAGAUUAGCUAGUUGGUGAGGUAACGGCUUACCAAGGCGACGAUCUGUAGCGGGUCUGAGAGGAUGAUCCGCCACACUGGAACUGAGACACGGUCCAGACUCCUACGGGAGGCAGCAGUGGGGAAUUUUGGACAAUGGGCGCAAGCCUGAUCCAGCCAUGCCGCGUGAGUGAAGAAGG
rnacentral:rRNA from 1 species